rnacentral:rRNA from 1 species
CACGUAGGGCGCAAGCGUUGUCCGGAAUUAUUGGGCGUAAAGAGCUCGUAGGCGGUCUGUUACGUCUGCUGUGAAAACCCGGGGCUUAACCCUGGGCUUGCAGUGGAUACGGGCAGACUAGAGGCAGGUAGGGGAGAAUGGAAUUCCCGGUGUAGCGGUGAAAUGCGCAGAUAUCGGGAGGAAUACCGAUGGCGAAGGCAGGUCUCUGGGCUGGACACUGACGCUCAUGCACGAAAGCGUGGGGAGCAAACAGG